AAAAAAAAAGCAUUUUGGCAGUUUGAAAGUCCAACUUUUGAACUGCCCAAAAUACAAAAAACUAAUUUGUUUGUGUAGUUUGAAAAUCCAAUCUUUCGAAUAUUCCAAAACACAUACAAAAAUAAAAAAAGAAAACGUCAAGUGUUUGGCCGUUCGAAAGUUGGACUUUUGAACUGCCCAAAUACUUUUUUUUCUUUUUGUGUUUUGGAUGGUUCGAAAGUUGGACUUUUGAACCGCCCAAACACAUUUUUUUUUUGUAUUUUGGGCGGUUUCAAAGUUGGUCUUUUGAAACCCCAAAUGCUUAAUUUUU
rnacentral:pre_miRNA from 1 species